AUUGAACGCUGGCGGCAGGCUUAACACAUGCAAGUCGAGCGGGGUGAUGGUGCUUGCACUAUCACUUAGCGGCGGACGGGUGAGUAAUGCUUAGGAAUCUGCCUAUUAGUGGGGGACAACAUCUCGAAAGGGAUGCUAAUACCGCAUACGUCCUACGGGAGAAAGCAGGGGAUCACUUGUGACCUUGUGCUAAUAGAUGAGCCUAAGUCGGAUUAGCUAGUUGGUGGGGUAAAGGCCUACCAAGGCGACGAUCUGUAGCGGGUCUGAGAGGAUGAUCCGCCACACUGGGACUGAGACACGGUCCAGACUCCUACGGGAGGCAGCAGUGGGGAAUAUUGGACAAUGGGGGGAACCCUGAUCCAGCCAUGCCGCGUGUGUGAAGAAGGCCUUAUGGUUGUAAAGCACUUUAAGCGAGGAGGAGGCUUACCUAGUUAAUACCUGGGAUAAGCGGACGUUACCCGCAGAAUAAGCACCGGCUAACUCUGUGCCAGCCGCCGCGGUAA
rnacentral:rRNA from 1 species